GGGCGUGUAGCUCAGUGGAAGGGCUGAGGAUGGCGGUCGGUCGGCCAGCUGUGGCGGAUCUUUUUCCUCGUGUCUUUGGUUCGAUUCUCAUCAGGCCCG